rnacentral:sRNA from 1 species
UGAAUUUGGUGGUUGGAUUUGGUUGUUGUUAUUGUUUUGCGUUUUUUUUUUUUUUUAAUUUUGUGGUUGGAUUUUGAGAUUUAGGCAGUGGGUGAGGCUUUUGUUUCAGAUAUGGGGGGUGGGCAAACGGUGUUGCAGAGAAGAACGCUUGCAGACGAUGCAACGGGCAAACGAAUCAGAUUUGGGAACGGGAUUAGCAAUCCCAUACCUAUUGGGGAUCCUCGCUAAGACGACCUAACGAAAGACUUAGUCGGUGCGAGUCCGACUUAGUCUCAUUAACGGUAGUCCGGUAGUCCUUGUUCGCACCAAACACUGGCUAGCAAUCCCAGCUAAGCCAGUCCAAUCCAAGGAAAUUUAGUGAGGGCAAACAAACGCCCCCUCAGGCUCUUUUUCAGCAGUCUAAUAUCGGAACGGCUGUGAAUGAUGUGGUAUUGCUUGCCUCGGAUCUUGUUUGUCGGAAAUUCGAUCGGAGAGGCAGGACAAGUUGACUAGCACGUUAUCAAAACAUGACAGACAAAGUUGACAUCGCUGUGUAAGAGUUUUCAUACAACAAAAGGCAGAAGCGAGUAUCAAUGAGCCUGAAACACCAACUUUUGGGACGACUUUAGAGAACUUAACUCAACAAAAAACAGAGGUGACAAAGAACGACCUGAAGCUAAUCAGCUAUGAGCUAACUUUAUUGCUCAUAUGGUUAAGGAGUACUUACAGGAACUUCGCUUUCAUUAUCAGACACUAGAAGAAUAGUGCAAGUGAAUGAACUGGCUUAUAGAUGGAUGGCUUCCUAAUCUGUAUGACUACCAUGUUUAGUGUUAUUGUCGAUUCUUCAUUAAUCCAUUCAUGGUAAUUGAAUGAACAAUUGUCCAUUUUACUGUUCAGGUUUGUCAAAAACUUGCUCAAAGAGCAGACUGUCAGUGUGAUUUGAGCUGGUUGUAAAUAGUAUAAUUUCUUUGUAAAUAACACUUUAAAAUC